rnacentral:rRNA from 1 species
UCCCCCAAGAGUUCACAUCGACGGGGAGGUUUGGCACCUCGAUGUCGGCUCAUCGCAUCCUGGGGCUGUAGUCGGUCCCAAGGGUUGGGCUGUUCGCCCAUUAAAGCGGUACGCGAGCUGGGUUCAGAACGUCGUGAGACAGUUCGGUCCCUAUCCGUCGUGGGCGUAGGAAAUUUGAGAGGAGCUGUCCUUAGUACGAGAGGACCGGGAUGGACAUACCUCUGGUGUACCAGUUGUCGUGCCAACGGCAUAGCUGGGUAGCUAUGUAUGGACGGGAUAAGUGCUGAAAGCAUCUAAGCAUGAAGCCCCCCUCGAGAUGAGAUUUCCCAACUUCGGUUAUAAGAUCCCUCAAAGAUGAUGAGGUGAAUAGGUUCGAGGUGGAAGCGUAGCGAUACGUGGAGCUGACGAAUACUAAUCGAUCGAAGACUUAAUCAACAU